GACGAACGCUGGCGGCGUGCUUAACACAUGCAAGUCGAACGGAAAGGCCCUGCUUUUGUGCGGUGCUCGAGUGGCGAACGGGUGAGUAACACGUGAGUAACCUGCCCUUGACUUUGGGAUAACUUCAGGAAACUGGGGCUAAUACCGGAUAGGAGCUCCUGCUGCAUGGUGGGGGUUGGAAAGUUUCGGCGGUUGGGGAUGGACUCGCGGCUUAUCAGCUUGUUGGUGGGGUAGUGGCAUGCCAAGGCUUUGACGGGUAGCCGGCCUGAGAGGGUGACCGGCCACAUUGGGACUGAGAUACGGCCCAGACUCCUACGGGAGGCAGCGGUGGAGAGUAUUGCACAGUGGGCGGGAGCCUGAUGCAGCAACGCCGCGUGCGGGAUGACGGCCUUCGGGUUGUAAACCGCUUUCGCCUGUGACGAAGCGUGAGUGACGGUAAUGGGUGAAGAAGCACCGGCUAACUACGUG
rnacentral:rRNA from 1 species